rnacentral:misc_RNA from 1 species
UUCCAUACGUGAUUGUGACAUUUCUUUGAAAACGUUAGCAGAUUGAUUGUAUUUUGCACCACACUGUACAUACAGCCACAUUUCAAUAUAAUAAUAAUAAAAGAAAUAAUAAUAAAGUAUUACAAGUUACAAACGUGAAAAUUGUAGGAAGCAAGGAAAUAUCCACGAGAAACAACGAAAAAUAUAUAGGUAAAAAAUAUUUUGUAGAUUUCAUUCCAGAGACAGAGAUGGUUGAUAUCAUAAAUACUGCAAAAACCAAGAAACACAAAGUUUCUAAAAAGACUAAGAAAUCGUGGAGAAAACAUGUGGACAUUAACGAUGUAGACGCAUUUCUUGAUAACAAGAGAUUGGAGGAGCGAUUGGGCGCUCCUUUCUCUGAGAGACCAGAUUCUGAGUUGUUUACCAUUGACAAGAAUGCCAGUGCGACUAAGCCUGUGAAAAGUGCCAAACGCGAGGCCAGACUAGCUUUGAAAAGCAAAGAGCCAAGAUGCUUUGCUUCUUUAAAACCACAUACAAAAGUUCCCGAUCCAAUCUCCAAAAGAAACCGAGUAAGAACCAAGGAGGAACGUAUGAGCUCCGUAUUACGGCAACGCGAAGCGGAGAGAAAAAUGAAGGGUAUUCUUAAAUUGAAAGAGAAAGUAGUUUUGAAAAAUAGAGCGCUUGCAAAAGCCGCUGCAGCUAAACGUCCUAAGAGAGGAGAGAUUACAGGUGAUGCAUGGCAAGUCACGAAGAAUGACUUAUUGCCAGAAAAAGUCACUGAUUGGAUGUCCUCUGAUAGUCUUCGGCAUACGAUAAAACAUUUAGGAGUUAAUAAAAGAAAAGUACCCUCAUCUUUGGGUAAAAAGCCAUCCAUUUUACCAGCAGUGGAAGCGCCGCAUCCAGGUACAUCUUAUAACCCAUCAUAUACUGAUCACCAAGAGUUGUUGCAUGAAAUAGCUCAAAAAGAAUUGGAGCUUAUCAAGCAGGAGAAGCAUUUGGACAGAGUCACAACUCAAAUGUUUAAAAAGAUUCCGUUAAACAAACGAGAUGAAUAUAUGAUGAAAGAAAUGUCGGAAGGUUUACCAAAUAUAAAUAAAACCACAGUAAAUUCAAAAUCUGCUCAAGAGGACCAAGAAGAAGAAGAAGAAGAUUCAUCUGUAGUAGGAAAUGAUAAAACUGUAAAGAACAUCAAGAAGACACUUGUGCAAAGAAGAAAACAACGAGAACAGAAGCAAGAGGCUAACGAGCGUGCAUUGAUGAAAUGUGAGAAGAAAAAACUUUCCGAUGUUUAUAAAUUGAACAUUUUACAGAAGCAAAUAGAGGCCAAAGAGAAGAAAGAAGAACUCUUACGACAGAAACGAAUGAAGAAAUGUGAAAGAGAAUCUACUAUGCCAAGAACCCUUGGUAGGAUAAAAUUUGAGCCCAUGGAUUCUGAUUUUCAGCUUAUGGAAGAGUUAACUGGUAAUUUGAGAAACUGUAAACCCAGCAUGAAUUUACUGAAAGAUCGCUACAAAUCGCUUCAACAAAGAAACAUUGUCGCACCGACCGUCAUCAAAUUGAAACGGGAAAAGGCAAAGAUGAAAAAAUUCGUGAAACCAGAUCAUAAAAUAGAUCUGGACAUUGUCAAGAGACAAGGCAAGAAAAACAGGAUGUCAAAGACAAGAAAGACUUAAUGCUGUUUCCUAUUCUAAGAUUUUUAUAUUUCGUUCAAAAUCGUAUAUAUGUAAUUCAUAUAUUAUCGUUGAAAGAUAUAUCAAGAGCGCCUGCAGAAUGGCAACCUGCUUCUGACGUUGGUAAGCAGGUUAUCACUCUAUAUAGGCUUCAACAAGUGACGUUUGGCGAAAGACAACUUCGAAAUUAAUUUCAAAAAUUUCCGCCACAA